AUUUUGCCAGUGCUGGAGGAAACGGUAUGGGUGUUGGAUUGUUCCUCUUAAAUGUUUCUUUCAGAAUUCUAAAGUUUCUAGAACAUUUAUUCUUUAUAGAAUGCUGUUUUGAUUCCCUCGUGGAUUUUGUUAUCUAAAUUCUAUUGAGAGAUGUUAUCUUGCUGCAUUUUUUGACCUUGCAGAAACUAUAAUAUGCUAUGCUUUUAUUUAUGUACUCAGAUUCAUCCACAAGUAUUUGCCUUUUGCUUUCCUUUUAUUUAAUUAAUUGUGAUUCUUGUUGCCCCAUAAUUUUUCAUUUUGGUUAGCGAGAAAUUGUGAUUUUGUGGCUCAAUGAAAAUGUUCAAAUGUGCUCUGUUUCUUUCGAACUUGAGAUUCUUGGUAGCUGACAAAGACAUUGAUUUAACUAUUCCUUUUUUUGAAGGUAAUAUUCUAUUCUACUACUGUCUUUUUCUUUAUCCUAUUGCUGUGGGAUUGAGGUUUGAUAUGUGUUUCUCUUCUUAUUCCUUGCUGUUUUGGUUUGGCAUAUAUUUGAUGAGGUUGGGGUGACAAAAUUACGUUAACCAGUGAGAGAUAAAUAUUUGUUAAAUAUUGUCUUAAGGGGUAUGUUAGAAAGGGUACUGUGUAACUUAUGCUUACUUAUUGUUGAAAAUAAAUUGAGGCAUAAAUAUCAUUUGCCACACCUUGCCUAAGACAAUUGUGACGAACUCGAUAUUGAUAUAUGUUUUAGUGUUUUAUACAGUCAAACCACUAUGAUUAAUCGUGUAAUGAUGGUACUGUGAUUACAACACUUGCAUAUCUAGGUGGAUUGAUGAAGAUACAGUUCAACAAUUGAGACAUCUAUGCUUGUAAAACAUUUUUUACUUGAGUAAAAGACUUGUAUGGUCCAACGUUCCCUAUUGUGUUAUAUCUAGUUAUAUCCGUCAGGUUCUACUUCUUUGUUAUCUUUCCAUGUUAGUAAUAUUUUUGUGUUGGUUUAUAAAAACAUUUAAACAUGUUUCUUUACCAAUAUCAACUUCUUGUAAUCCACAAGAAAGCAAGUCUAUAGGUGUUGAAGUAAAUUGGGGUGUGAGGUUUAAUGAUUUGGAAGAUGUGGGCAUUUUGAUGCUAUGGAAACAUUUAUUGUUCUUUUCGUUUAUUUUAUUGGGUGACAAUAGUGAACUUCUUUACUCCAGUGUCAUCAUUUUCUCAUGAACCUCUAUAAAGAGGUCUCGUUGCGCUUCCAAGGAUGUGCAGUGCAUGGGCGUGGUUUUACCCUUAAGGUUCCUUUGGCUAUUGAUGAUGAAGAUGUGAUCACAAGAAUAAUGGCGCAACUUUUUGGCUCUUUUCAUAUAGGAUUGUUGUUCAGUUGAGAAGCACUUGUUCAAUCGUGUCAUCCACCAAGUUAGUUCAAGUCUUCCCUGUUUUUCAUAGUUGCUGAUGGUUGCAGGAAAUAGCAUUUUUCAAUGUUACUCGCAGUGGGGAACUGGUAAGUAACCUAUCUAAGGACACGUAGUGUAAAUUUCUGAGGUUGCAAGGAAUGUUUCUACCAUGUCUAUUGGUCUUGGUUUCAUGAUUUUUACUUCAUGUUAGUUAAGAUGUAGUUUCUCAACCAUUUAUGGCGUAGCUAUGAACUUUUCUUUUUUCAUGCAAUCCAAA